GGAGAAUUUAGAAAUAAGCUAAUUAAAAUCUUAAUUAAAAUAAUUAAAAAAUAAUGUAAUUAAUUACGACGCUUUGGAAGCGACGUCAAGAUAUUUGUUUAUUGGCGACAUUUAAUCAUAGCGUCAGCAUAUAUCAAGUAUUAAAGACGUUAGAAUAAAGCGUCGUCUAAAAAGCAUCGGUAAAAAUAUAUUUUGUUGUAGUGUUGGCUACCAAAUCUUUUAAUUUAUUUGAUUUGAGUUAGUCUAUGCCAUAUUGAUAAGUUAAUUUUAAAAAUUAAAAUUAAAAUUUUAAUUUAAUUAAUAAUAAUUUGUAAUUUAUUUAUUUAUUUAAGUUAAAUUUAAUUAAUUUUUAAAAAAUAAAUGAAAAUAAUUAAUAGAUAAACACUAAUUAAUAAAGCUCUUGAAUUUAAAAAUUUAACUAAAUUAACUAGAAUAAAAUUAUCAAAAAAAGUUGGGAGAUGUUAAUCAAAAUAAAAUUAAAAUUCAUAGAGCAAUUUCAAAAUGAUCUGAAGUUAAAGGUGUAUCUGUACAUUUUCACCCUUAAUUUUUAACACCUACAGUUUUUUCAUCUUCACUAUACAUUAUUUUGAUAUAAAUUUUUUAAAUAUUUUAUUUCUAUUGUAAUUUUAUUAAUAAUAUGCGUCAAUUUUUUUUAUCAUCACUAUAGCUAACCAAAUAGUGACAAAAAAUUAGUCAUUUAGUGGCGACAGUAGUAUUGCCACUUAAAGUUAAUUAAUUGGUGGCAAAAUUUUUUAUCGCCACUUAAAGUUAAUUAAUUGGUGGCAAAAUUUUUUUUAUCGCCACUUAAAGUUAAUUAAUUGGUGGCAAAAUUUUUUUAUCGCCACUAUAGGUAACCAAAUAAUGGCGAUAAAAUAAUCAUUUAGUGGCGAAAGUAAUAUUGCCACUUUAAAUUAAUUAAUCAGUGGCAAUUUUUUUUAUCACCAUUAUAAAUAAUGAUUUAGUGGCAAUAAAAUAAUUAUUUAGUGGCGAAAGUAGUGUCACCACUUUAUGUUAAUUAAUCAGUGGCCAUUUAUUUUAUCGCCACAGUAGAUAACUAAAUAGUGGCGAUAAAAUAAUCAUUCAAUGGCGAAAGUAGUAUUGCCACUUUUAGUUAACUAAUCGGUGGCAAUUUUUUUUAUUGCCAUAAUAAGUAACUAUAUAGUGGCGACAAAAUUUAUCGCCACACUAUUUUGGCCACCAAUACCGUCAUUUCUUGUAGUGUAUCAAGAAUAAAUCAUAUGAAAAAGUUUUCAUUUGGUAGUAAUUAUUAUCCAAUAACUUGUUUCAAAUAUCUAAACAUAGAAUUUGACAUAAACCAAAAAUUAUCUCUCUCUCUCUCUCUCUCUAGAGAUAUUUGGUAACUAAUUAUAUAAAGAUUUUAAUAAAGUGUAAAUAUAAGUCUAUAAACUUUUAUUUCUAAAUUUUCGCUUUUAAAAUAUGGUGAAUGAUUUACCUUUUAAGAAAGCAACGCUAAAAUCAUUCACCAUAUUCACAUAAAAUGUUAAUUCUUUAAGUUUGAACUCCGCGCAUGUAUAUUGCUUUUAAAAGUAAUAAAUAAUUCACCAAUUUUAUGAGUAUUCCCUAAUAAUUUUAAUAUUUUGAAUAAAGUCGCAAACGAUUUGCCAUAUUUAGAAAGUGGUGAUUCCUUCGUCGUUUUUUUGGGGACUUAUGUAACAUAGUUUAGACUUAAUUUUGCAAAUAUUUUU
rnacentral:lncRNA from 1 species